AAAUAAUAUCAGGAAGUAUUACUUUACUGAGAGGGUAGUGGAUGCAUGGAAUAGCCAUCCAGCUGAAGUGGUAGAGGUUAACACAGUAAAGGAGUUUAAGCAUGCGUGGGAUAGGCAUAAGGCUAUCCUAACUAUAAGAUAAGGCUAGGGACUAAUGAAAGUAUUUAGAAAAUUGGGCAGACUAGAUGGGCCGAAUGGUUCUU